rnacentral:rRNA from 1 species
UGGGGAAUAUUGGACAAUGGGCGAAAGCCUGAUCCAGCCAUGCCGCGUGUGUGAAGAAGGUCUUCGGCUUGUAAAGCACUUUAAGUUGGGAGGAAGGGCAGUAAGCGAAUACCUUGCUGUUUUGACGUUACCGACAGAAUAAGCACCGGCUAACUCUGUGCCAGCAGCCGCGGUACUACAGCGGGUGCAAGCGUUAAUCGGAAUUACUGGGCGUAAAGCGCGCGUAGGUGGUUCGUUAAGUUGAAUGUGAAAGCCCCGGGCUCAACCUGGGAAAUGCAGCCAAAGCUGGCGGGCUAGAGUAGGGCAGAGGGUGGUGGAAUUUCCUGUGUAGCGGUGAAAUGCGUGGAUAUAGGAAGGAACACCAGUGGCGAAGGCGACCACCAGGGCUCAUACUGACACUGAGGUGCGAAAGCGUGGGGAGCAAACAGG